rnacentral:lncRNA from 1 species
AGGUCCCAUAUUAACUAAAACUGUGCAGCAAUCUCAAUCAAAGGCUUCGUUUCGUCACAUAGAGACAGUGGCUCUCUGAAUCAUAGUUCAUAUGCUUAUGCAGCAGGUGUUUACUUGUCUAAUUGCCGAAGACACCACAAUGGUGGUGCAGUCCUUGGGGAGUGAGGACUUGCUUACUCGCUUUAGUCAUGGAACUAGCCUCUCAACGCAAGGUAUUAAGGUUAAAUAUCUUUAACGAUCCCCAAAUUCCACACCGGUGUGUGCUUUGUGCGCUAGGAUGACCAUUUCUAUAUUGAAGUUAGAUUGGUGAGCUAGUCUUAAUAUAAAACACAAUUAAAAGGCAAUUAUUUAUAUGAUUAAAUUGUACAAAACCUGUAUGGUUUUGUUCCUUCUUUUUGUUGCAUUUCAAUAGAAAUCUUCUAUGUUUUGAGACUGAAUGAAUGGGUUGUAAGACUUCUAGCUUGUGCUGUGUAGACGUUGCUAAAAUCAUUACUAUCAGUCUGUGGUAAUAGGCAUAAUAUAAACGCCAUGUUUGGUUCCUUUUGAUGCAAGGUUCUACUGUGUAAGAUGUAUUGGAUAUGAAACCUGUUUGAACUUCUAGUCAUUAUGUCCAUCUUUUUAUGUUCUCUGUAUGUCAUUCAACAUUAAUAGUGUAGGCAAUGUUUUUUUUUUGUUGCCAUUGCUGUUAUUUCAGCAAAGUUAAGUUCAUUCUGUAUGUGUGAUUUCUGAAGUCACGAUGCACAUUAUAUUGUCCUUAAAUUACAAGAUUCAUCGCAAAUUUCAAAAACAUUAUGUUCAUUGACUUAUGUGAUAUAUUUGACUGUUAAAUAUAAUCAAGAAUAGGCUUAAUUAGGCAUAAUUAGGCUUAAUUAGAAAAGUUUCCAUUUUUAGUAACUGUUUGGAAAACAGUUAAUUCUGUUUUGCUAUUGUUGGAAAGUAGCCGUUUUCGGUUGAUUUUCGAAAAAUUGAAACCUGUAUAAGUUCAAGCUCAUUACACGAAUGCAUAUGUGAAGUAUUAUCCAAUUCUAUCUUGAUUUACUUGUUCAAUUUUAGUUUCCCAAAUUUUCGUUUUCUAACACUCUUAAGAACCCUAAUUCUUCUCUUCUUCACCAUUCUUCAAUUGCUUCAUACCCAAGUUAAUUCUUAGCUCACUGAAUCUUUCCCCCAACCUUUUUUGAUCCAAUUUUCGUGUUUGGUAUUCUUUCUGUUUCCCACAUUGACGAGGCAUAUAAACAUAGACCAGUUUUAGUUCUAUAUAUCAGAUUUAGAGAAAAAUACAUUCCAUGAAACUAUGAAUUUUUUGAAGGUUGUUGGUGGGGUGGAUAUGAUACGACUAAUAAAGCAUUGCGAAAAUUCAUAUGUAAUUCCUUAUUCAUAUCUAUAUAUUAUCCUAUUUUACUGAAACUAUUGUUUUCUAUUGUUUUGAUAUUACUUACAAAUCUAUCAUCAUUUCUUCUUUUCUGAUUCCUUAGAUUGUCGACUUACGAAAUUUCGAAAUUGAAGGAAAAGAUGAUAAGAAUCACGAAGAGCAAGCUUACACCAACUUGAUCAAAUUGGCCCAUGUGCAUCAUACCAUCAGUUAGGGCCAUGCCCAUCGUGACUGAGGAACUGGGCCAAAUGACCAAGGAGCAGAAGAUCGUGACCGGGCCAACAGGGACCAGACUAAUUGAGGUGAUACUGGCCAUGACCGAACCAGACUUGGCCAGGAUGACCAAGAUGACGGAGGAAGGACUGGCCAUGACCGUGCUAAUCCAAAUGAAGCUGACCGAGAUGACUGGGCCAACACUAGCCAGCAUGAUCGUGCAAACCAAGCCAAUACUGACCGACACACUUGGCUUGUUGACCAUGCUAGGAAUGGAGACCCUAACUGAGCUGGACUGGCUUAGGCCCAAGAUAGUCCAGGGCUAGCAGAAUACUUCCUUGGGGCAUUUUGUUGAGCACAUGUGUUUUUACUGGACUGUUUUCUUGUUGUGCAAGCAAUAGUUUUUUAAUUGAUUUUUUGUCUAUUUGAUUAGACGGUUAAUGCAUAAUUAACUCUUAAAUCUUGGUUUAGCAUUAGGAUUAAACUUGGGUUAUUUUUUGGUCGUUUUAACAGAUAGAUUUGUUUGUG